CGGUAAUUCCAGCUCCAAUAGCGUAUAUUAAAGUUGUUGCGGUUAAAAAGCUCGUAGUUGAUCCUCAGUUCCGGACUGACGGUGCACCGCCCGGUGUCUCUCCGUCAUGCUCCGAACAGCAGGGACGACCCUGCCCGGCCGGCUCGCACGGGGUGCUCUUCAUCGAGUGUCCCGCGUGGCCGGCGAGUUUACUUUGAAAAAAUUAGAGUGCUCAGAGCAGGCUACUUGAAUGGCCUGAAUGGUGAUGCAUGGAAUAAUGGAAUAGGACCUCGGUUCUAUUUUAUUGGUUUUCGGAACCCGAGGUAAUGACUAAUAGAAACAGGCGGGGGCAUUCGUACUGCGACGCUAGAGGUGAAAUUCUUGGACCGUCGCAAGACGAACUACUGCGAAAGCAUUUGCCAAGGAUGUUUUCAUUAAUCAAGAACGAAAGUUAGAGGUUCGAAGGCGAUCAGAUACCGCCCUAGUUCUAACCAUAAACGAUGCUGACUAGCGAUCCGCCGGCGUUAUUCCCAUGACCCGGCGGGCAGCUUCCGGGAAACCAAAGUCUUUGGGUUCCGGGGGAAGUAUGGUUGCAAAGCUGAAACUUAAAGGAAUUGACGGAAGGGCACCACCAGGAGUGGAGCCUGCGGCUUAAUUUGACUCAACACGGGGAACCUCACCAGGCCCGGACACCGGAAGGAUUGACAGA
rnacentral:rRNA from 1 species